rnacentral:rRNA from 1 species
CUAGCGACAGGCUUAACACGUGCAAGUCGAGGGGCAGCGGGGGUAGCGAUACCCGCCGGCGACCGGCGCACGGGUGAGUAACGCGUAUGCAACUUGCCUAUCAGAGGGGGAUAACCCGGCGAAAGUCGGACUAAUACCGCAUGAAGCAGGGGCCCCGCAUGGGGAUAUUUGCUAAAGAUUCAUCGCUGAUAGAUAGGCAUGCGUUCCAUUAGGCAGUUGGCGGGGUAACGGCCCACCAAACCGACGAUGGAUAGGGGUUCUGAGAGGAAGGUCCCCCACAUUGGUACUGAGACACGGACCAAACUCCUACGGGAGGCAGCAGUGAGGAAUAUUGGUCAAUGGCCGAGAGGCUGAACCAGCCAAGUCGCGUGAGGGAUGAAGGUUCUAUGGAUCGUAAACCUCUUUUAUAAGGGAAUAAAGUGCGGGACGUGUCCCGUUUUGUAUGUACCUUAUGAAUAAGGAUCGGCUAACUCCGUGCCAGCAGCCGCGGUAAUACGGAGGAUCCGAGCGUUAUCCGGAUUUAUUGGGUUUAAAGGGUGCGUAGGCGGCCUUUUAAGUCAGCGGUGAAAGUCUGUGGCUCAACCAUAGAAUUGCCGUUGAAACUGGGGGGCUUGAGUAUGUUUGAGGCAGGCGGAAUGCGUGGUGUAGCGGUGAAAUGCAUAGAUAUCACGCAGAACCCCGAUUGCGAAGGCAGCCUGCCAAGCCAUUACUGACGCUGAUGCACGAGAGCGUGGGGAUCAAACAGGAUUAGAUACCCUGGUAGUCCACGCAGUAAACGAUGAUCACUAGCUGUUUGCGAUACACUGUAAGCGGCACAGCGAAAGCGUUAGGUGAUCCACCUGGGGAGUACGCCGGCAACGGUGAAACUCAAAGGAAUUAACGGGGGCCCGCACAAGCGGAGGAACAUGUGGUUUAAUUCGAUGAUACGCGAGGAACCUUACCCGGGUUUGAACGCAUUCGGACCGAGGUGGAAACACCUUUUCUAGCAAUAGCCGUUUGCGAGGUGCUGCAUGGUUGUCGUCAGCUCGUGCCGUGAGGUGUCGGCUUAAGUGCCAUAACGAGCGCAACCCUUGCCACUAGUUACUAACAGGUAAAGCUGAGGACUCUGGUGGGACUGCCAGCGUAAGCUGCGAGGAAGGCGGGGAUGACGUCAAAUCAGCACGGCCCUUACAUCCGGGGCGACACACGUGUUACAAUGGCGUGGACAAAGGGAGGCCACCUGGCGACAGGGAGCGAAUCCCCAAACCACGUCUCAGUUCGGAUCGGAGUCUGCAACCCGACUCCGUGAAGCUGGAUUCGCUAGUAAUCGCGCAUCAGCCAUGGCGCGGUGAAUACGUUCCCGGGCCUUGUACACACCGCCCGUCAAGCCAUGGGAGCCGGGGGUACCUGAAGUCCGUAACCGCGAGGAUCGGCCUAGGGUAAAACUGGU